rnacentral:lncRNA from 1 species
GCCAGGGGACCAGACCCAUAGACUGGAGGUAUUAGUUUCCAUCCUGGCCAGGGGACCAGACCCAUAGACUGGAGGUAUUAGUUUCCAUCCUGGCCAGGGGACCAGACCCAUAGACUGGAGGUAUUAGUUUCCAUCCUGGCCAGGGGACCAGACCCAUAGACUGGAGGUAUUAGUUUCCAUCCUGGCCAGGGGACCAGACCCAUAGACUGGAGGUAUUGGUUUACAUCCUGGCCAGGGGACCAGACCCAUAGACUGGAGGUAUUAGUUUCCAUCCUGGCCAGGGGACCAGACCCAUAGACUGGAGGUAUUAGUUUCCAUCCUGGCCAGGGGACCAGACCCAUAGACUGG